UCUCUGGUGGUCCAGUGGUUAAGACUCUGCACUCCCAAUGCAGGGGGUCUAGGUUCGAUCCCCUGGUUAGGGAA
rfam:Ovis aries breed Texel chromosome 14, whole genome shotgun sequence.